GGGGGGCGGGGCCUGCGGAGCAGGGCGGGGCCGCCGCGCCCGCCGCGAGGACCCCCGGAGCCGGCCUCGGCGCGCCGGGGGCGCUUCCCCCUCCCGAGGAGCUUUUGGGCCGCGGGGCGAGGCCUCAUGGAGGCCGUGGGCCCGGAGAGCUGCAGAGGAAUCGCGGUGUCUGGGGCUGAAGGCCGGCCAGCGCUGGUGGAGAGGGUGCACUUUCGUGUAACAAGGUUCAUCAUGGAGGCAGGUGUCAAGCUUGGGAUGCACUCCAUUCCCAUUGCCACCGCGUGCACCAUUUACCAUAAAUUCUUCUGUGAGAUCAACCUGGAUGCGUAUGACCCUUACCUGGUCGCCAUGUCUGCCAUUUACCUGGCUGGCAAAGUAGAGGAGCAGCACCUGCGGACCCGAGACAUCAUCAACGUGUCCAACAGGUACUUUAACCCAAGCAGCGAGCCUCUGGAGCUGGACUCACGCUUCUGGGAGCUGCGGGACAGCAUCGUGCAGUGUGAGCUCCUGGUGCUGCGAGUCCUGCGCUUCCAGGUAUCCUUCCAGCACCCUCACAAGUACCUGCUCCACUACCUGGUUUCCCUCAAGAACUGGCUGAACCGUUACAGCUGGCAGCGGACUCCCAUCUCUGUCACAGCCUGGGCCCUGCUGCGGGACAGCUACCAUGGCGGGCUGUGUCUCCGUUUCCGGGCACAGCACCUGGCCGUGGCCGUGCUCUACCUGGCUCUGCAGGUCUACGGAGUUGAGGUGCCUGCUGAGGCUGAGGCUGAGAAGCCGUGGUGGCAGGGUCUUCCUGCAUAGUCUGGCCUUGAACUCACUAUGUAGCCCAGGCAGAUAGCCAGUCAUCCUGCUUCAGCCUGCCGAGUGCUGGGAUGACGGGUGUGCGGCACCAUGUCUGGUGUAUCGGAUGCUGGAAACACUUCUCACGCGCUCUCAGCUGUUGCUUCUUGCAGUCACUGCCUCCUGUCCCUUCAGCCUGAGAGCCCAGCGCUUCCCAGCUACCAGCCAGCCUGCACAUAGGCCCCUGUGGGUUUGGGCUUCAGGAGGUACAUCUCUGGCUGCAAGAUGAGUGGGGGCAGCAGUGCCAGCAGUGGGCACAGAGUUCCGGAAGGCUCUGAGUGCAGAAGUGCACCUGGGGCCCCCUGUGCUGUUUCCAACAAUGGGGAGGGCCGGGUACAGGGGAGAAACUGUAGAGCGCACAGUCCAGCCAUUGCCAUGCAUCCCCACCCAUCUGCAGAAUUCCCCCGUGUGACCAAGCCCUGUCCCGGGAGACACUGGUUCUCCAUGGCUCUGUGUGGCCCCUGUGGAUCUGUGAUUGUCCUGUGUGUCAGUGUGUUCUUCUUUUUGGAUUCAUUGAUUGAUCGAUUAGUUUGGCCUCACUGUGUAGUUCAGGCUGGCCUUGAACUCACUGUGUAGCCCAGGCUUGCCUGGAACUCACAGAGGUCCUCCUGCCUCAGCCUCCCAAAUCCUGGAUGACAGGCACGUGCCCCUUUCCCCAGCUGUCCCUUCCUUGAGAAGGCUGUAACAGGCGGCGCAGGGAUGGUCCAUCCACACAGGAUUCAUCUACUCAUCUGCGUACAUUCGAGGAGCUGCUCCUCUUUGGCUAUCAACACUUGGCUUUUGUUUUAUUUCUAGCGCUUUGGAAUGGUCACGUCUCAGCACGGGGUCCCCAGGACACACAGGUGGGGGCUGCGGAGGGACCUCCUUUCUUAGGAGAUUUAGGUGGGGCAGACUAAGGUCCAGGUCUUGCCCGUGGGCUUAACUUUGUAGGUGCCUUGAUCCCCUGGGCAGCCACCCUGGCCGCAGGAUUGCUGCUUCGCCCUUUACUUCCUCUUGUUGUAGGUGGGGGGAGUUCCCCAAAGCAGCACCACCUCACUCACCGGGGACUCCUGGACUCCACAGACCGUUAACAAAAGGACGCCGUGGUGCAGGUGUCUGAGUCAGGAGCCAGGAGAGAUUUAUUCCAUGGACACAGAGAUCCCCUAAGGCCCUGGCCCAGGCCUGCCCAAAGAGAAGCCCAGGAUGGCCGGCUGCCUG